AAUGGAGGCAACUCUGAUCCAGCCAUGCCGCGUGCAGGAAGACUGCCUAUGGGUUGUAAACUGCUUUUAUAUAGGAAGAACCUACUUACGUGUAAGUAGCUGACGGUACUAUAAGAAUAAGGAUCGGCUAACUCCGUGCCAGCAGCCGCGGUAAUACGGAGGAUCCAAGCGUUAUCCGGAAUCAUUGGGUUUAAAGGGUCCGUAGGUGGAUAAUUAAGUCAGAGGUGAAAGCCGACAGCUCAACUGUAAAAUUGCCUUUGAUACUGGUUAUCUUGAGUUAUUAUGAAGUAGUUAGAAUAUGUAGUGUAGCGGUGAAAUGCAUAGAUAUUACAUAGAAUACCAAUUGCGAAGGCAGAUUACUAAUAAUCAACUGACACUGAUGGACGAAAGCGUGGGUAGCGAACAGGAUU
rnacentral:rRNA from 1 species